UACGUAGGGUGCAAGCGUUGUCCGGAAUUAUUGGGCGUAAAGAGCUCGUAGGCGGUCUGUUGCGUCGGCUGUGAAAUCCCUCGGCUCAACCGAGGAACUGCAUCCGAUACUGGCGGGCUUGAAUCCGGGAGAGGGAUGUGGAAUUCCAGGUGUAGCGGUGAAAUGCGUAGAUAUCUGGAGGAACACCGGUGGCGAAGGCGGCAUCCUGGACCGGUAUUGACGCUGAGGCGCGAAAGCCAGGGGAGCAAACGGG
rnacentral:rRNA from 1 species